rnacentral:rRNA from 1 species
GUGGGGAAUAUUGCACAAUGGACGAAAGUCUGAUGCAGCAACGCCGCGUGGAGGAUGACACAUUUCGGUGCGUAAACUCCUUUUAUAUAAGAAGAUAAUGACGGUAUUAUAUGAAUAAGCACCGGCUAACUCCGUGCCAGCAGCCGCGGUAAUACGGAGGGUGCAAGCGUUACUCGGAAUCACUGGGCGUAAAGAGCGUGUAGGCGGAUUGAUAAGUUUGAAGUGAAAUCCUAUAGCUUAACUAUAGAACUGCUUUGAAAACUGUUAAUCUAGAAUGUGGGAGAGGUAGAUGGAAUUUCUGGUGUAGGGGUAAAAUCCGUAGAGAUCAGAAGGAAUACCGAUUGCGAAGGCGAUCUACUGGAACAAUAUUGACGCUGAGACGCGAAAGCGUGGGGAGCAAACAGGAUUAGAUACCCCGGUAGUCC